AUUGAACGCUGGCGGCAUGCUUUACACAUGCAAGUCGAACGGGGUGGGGGCAACCCUCAUUCAGUGGCGAACGGGUGAGUAAUGCAUCGGAACGUAUCCCGUAGUGGGGACAACGCCGCGAAAGCGGCGCUAAUACCGCAUAUGCUCUACGGAGGAAAGUGGGGGACCUGAAAGGGCCUCACGCUAUGGGAGCGGCCGAUGUCCGAUUAGCUAGUUGGUGGGGUAAUGGCCCACCAAGGCGACGAUCGGUAGCUGGUCUGAGAGGCCGAACAGCCACACUGGGACUGAGACACGGCCCAGACACCUACGGGAGCAG
rnacentral:rRNA from 1 species